UACGUAGGGGGCGAGCGUUAUCCGGAAUUACUGGGCGUAAAGCGCACGCAGGCGGUUCGCCAAGUUUGGAGUGACAGUUGUCGGCUCAACCGACAAAGGACUUCAAAAACUGGUGAACUUGAGGACGAGAGAGGAACAUGGAACUCCAGGUGUAGUAGUGAAAUGCGUAGAUAUCUGGAAGAACACCAAUGGCGAAGGCAAUGUUCUGGCUCGUUUCUGACGCUCAGGUGCGAAAGCCAGGGGGGCGAACGGG
rnacentral:rRNA from 1 species